CUCUCUAUGAGCUGAGGGAAGGCCUGUGGAACGGAUUAGCUAUGAGCUGAGCGGAAGGCCUGUGGAAUGGGUUAUCUAUGAGUUGAGGAAAGGCCUGUGGAAUG